GAUGAACGCUGGCGGCGUGCCUAAUACAUGCAAGUCGAGCGAACAGACGAGGAGCUUGCUCCUCUGACGUUAGCGGCGGACGGGUGAGUAACACGUGGAUAACCUACCUAUAAGACUGGGAUAACUUCGGGAAACCGGAGCUAAUACCGGAUAAUAUAUUGAACCGCAUGGUUCAAUAGUGAAAGACGGUUUUGCUGUCACUUAUAGAUGGAUCCGCGCCGCAUUAGCUAGUUGGUAAGGUAACGGCUUACCAAGGCAACGAUGCGUAGCCGACCUGAGAGGGUGAUCGGCAACACUGGAACUGAGAAACGGCCCAGACUCCUACGGGAGGCAGCAGUAGGGAAUCUUCCGCAAUGGGCGAAAGCCUGACGGAGCAACGCCGCGUGAGUGAUGAAGGUCUUCGGAUCGUAAAACUCUGUUAUUAGGGAAGAACAAAUGUGUAAGUAACUAUGCACGUCUUGAGGGAACCUAAUCAGAAAGCCACGGCUAACUACGU
rnacentral:rRNA from 1 species